GUGUUUAUUUACAAGUAUUCUUGUUUCUAAGUGGACCCAUUUCCCUCUCAGUUGUGUGCAGCCAGCGAGUUCGACGGUGGAUUGAUGACGGUGGAGAAUUUAGUAGAAGAAUAAAUCCAUCAGUAACCAGAA